ACGGGUGAGUAACGCGUGGGAAUCUACCCAUCUCUACGGAAUAACGCAUGGAAACGUGUGCUAAUACCGUAUACGUCCUUCGGGAGAAAGAUUUAUCGGAGAUGGAUGAGCCCGCGUUGGAUUAGCUAGUUGGUGGGGUAAAGGCCUACCAAGACGACGAUCCAUAGCUGGUCUGAGAGGAUGAUCAGCCACACUGGGACUGAGACACGGCCCAGACUCCUACGGGAGGCAGCAGUGGGGAAUAUUGGACAAUGGGCGCAAGCCUGAUCCAGCCAUGCCGCGUGAGUGAUGAAGGCCCUAGGGUUGUAAAGCUCUUUCACCGGUGAAGAUAAUGACGGUAACCGGAGAAGAAGCCCCGGCUAACUUCGUGCCAGCAGCCGCGGUAAUACGAAGGGGGCUAGCGUUGUUCGGAUUUACUGGGCGUAAAGCGCACGUAGGCGGACUAUUAAGUCAGGGGUGAAAUCCCGGGGCUCAACCCCGGAACUGCCUUUGAUACUGGUAGUCUUGAGUUCGAGAGAGGUGAGUGGAAUUCCGAGUGUAGAGGUGAAAUUCGUAGA
rnacentral:rRNA from 1 species